UAUCAUUAACUGAAUCCAUAGGUUAAUGAGGCGAACCGGGGGAACUGAAACAUCUAAGUACCCCGAGGAAAAGAAAUCAACCGAGAUUCCCCCAGUAGCGGCGAGCGAACGGGGAGGAGCCCAGAGCCUGAAUCAGCAUGUGUGUUAGUGGAAGCGUCUGGAAAGGCGCGCGAUACAGGGUGACAGCCCCGUACACAAAAGCGCAUGUGCUGUGAGCUCGAUGAGUAGGGCGGGACACGUGGUAUCCUGUCUGAAUAUGGGGGGACCAUCCUCCAAGGCUAAAUACUCCUGACUGACCGAUAGUGAACCAGUACCGUGAGGGAAAGGCGAAAAGAACCCCGGCGAGGGGAGUGAAAAAGAACCUGAAACCGUGUACGUACAAGCAGUGGGAGCACCCUUUG
rnacentral:rRNA from 1 species